rnacentral:rRNA from 1 species
UACGUAGGGUGCGAGCGUUAAUCGGAAUUACUGGGCGUAAAGUGUGCGUAGGCGGCUUGGCAAGUCGAGUGUGAAAUCCCCGAGCUUAACUUGGGAAUUGCGCUCGAAACUACGGAGCUGGAGUGUGGCAGAGGAAGGUGGAAUUCCACGUGUAGCGGUGAAAUGCGUAGAGAUGUGGAGGAACACCGAUGGCGAAGGCAGCCUUCUGGGCCAACACUGACGCUCAUGCACGAAAGCGUGGGGAGCAAACAGG